CCAUGGAAAAAGUACCUUCCUCCAUUCAAAAACUUUGGUUAUCCUUUCCCUCUUCCUCCGCUUCCACCAAAAUACAAUAUACCUUUUCCUCCGGUAUAUACGAAGCCACUUCCACCCCCAGUUCCGGUAUAUACGAAGCCACUUCCACCUCCAGUUCCCGUAUAUACUAAACCGUUUCCACCGCCAGUUCCAAUAUAUGCUAAACCACUUCCACCACCAGUUCCGGUAUAUACAAAACCACUUCUACCACCAGUUCCGGUAUAUACUAAACCGUUUCCACCCCCAGUUCCCGUAUAUACGAAGCCACUUCCACCCCCAGUUCCCGUAUAUACGAAACCACUUCCACCCCCAGUUCCGAUAUAUACAAAGCCACUUCCACCUCCAGUUCCUGUAUAUACUAAACCGUUUCCACCGCCAGUUCCAAUAUAUGCUAAACCACUUCCACCAUCAGUUCCGGUAUAUACUAAACCACUUCCACCACCAGUUCCAGUAUAUACUAAACCACUUCCACCCCCAGUUCCCGUAUAUACUAAACCGUUUCCACCCCCAAUUCCCAUGUAUACGAAGCCACAUCCACCACCAGUUCCGGCAUACACGAAGCCACUUCCACCACCAGUUCCCAUCUACAAGCCAAAACCCCCAGUUCCAGUUUACAAUCCUCCCCCAGUUCCAAUUUACAAACCAAAACCAAAACCAAAACCACCCAUUUGCAACCCUUCCCCAGUUCCAGAUUACAAACCAAAACCAACUCCACCAAUUUACAAGAAUCCUGUAGUUCCUUACAAACCAAAACCAACUCCUCCCGUAGUUCCUUAUAAACCAAACCCAACUCCACCAAUUUACAAACCUCCAGUUCCCGUUUACAAACCAAAACCACCGGUUUUUAAGCCGCCUCCUAUUCCUAUUUACAAGAAGCCACCCCCUCCUACGGUUCCAAUCUAUAAACCUCCGCUGGUUCUCCCACCACCUGUUCCCAGUUACAAGAAACCCUGCCCACCCGUUAUUCCU
rnacentral:lncRNA from 1 species